rnacentral:rRNA from 1 species
AGUCCAAAUAGGGCGAAUAGUCAGUGGGGGUAGACGCGAAACUUUGUGAUCUAUCCAUGAGCAGGUUGAAGUUUCGGUAACACGACAUGGAGGACCGAACCCAUUAACGUUGAAAAGUUAUGGGAUGACCUGUGGAUAGGGGUGAAAGGCCAAUCAAACUGAGAGAUAGCUCGUUCUCCCCGAAAUGUUUUUAGGAACAGCGUCGCAUAUAGAAGUUUAUUAGAGGUAGAGCUACUGAUUGGGCUAGGGGGCUUCACCGCCUACCAAACCCUGACAAACUCCGAAUGCUAAUAAAUAUCUGCGGCAGUGAGGCUGUGGGCGCUAAGGUCCAUGGCCGAGAGGGAAAUAACCCAGAUUAGCAACUAAGGUCCCUAAUACGUAGUUAAGUUGAUCAAACGAGGUGGGACUUCUAUAACAGCCAGGAUGUUUGCUUGGAAGCAGCAAUUCAUUUAAAGAGUGCGUAACAGCUCACUGGUCGAGAGGUCCUGCACGGAAAAUAAUCGGGCAUCAAACUAUGAACCGAAGUUCUAAACUCUAACUUGUUAGAGUGGUAGGGGAGCAUUGAAAUCUGCAUAGAAGGUGUAUGGCGACAUAUGCUGGAGCGAUUUCAAAAGAAAAUGUAGGUAUAAGUAACGAUAAAAGGAGUGAAAAACUCCUUCGCCGAAAGUCUAAGGUUUCCUGAUCAACGUUAAUCGGAUCAGGGUUAGUCUGGUCCUUAGGAGAACCCGAAAGGGGCAUCUGAUGGAAAGAAGGUUAAUAUUCCUUCACCUACUAUACAUUAAAAGUGACGGAGAAUGCUAGCUACAUAGGCAGACGGAUGCUGAGUGAAUCCUUCGGGUGAAGCGUAGUAGUGAAAGUUCUUCCAAGAAAAGCGAGUAUAGCAGCCAGUACCGCAAACCGACACAGGUAGACGGGAUGAGUAUUCUAAGGCGCUCGGGUGAGCCGUGGAGAAGGAACUAGGCAAAUUAACGCUGUAACUUCGGGAUAAAGCGUACCAUAGAGAUAUGGUCACAGUAAAAUGAUUCAACCAACUGUUUAACAAAAACACAGGGCCCUGCAAAAUCGAAAGAUGACGUAUAGAGCCUGAAACCUGCCCGGUGCUGGAAGGUUAAGGAAGGAUGUUCGGCGCAAGCCAAAGCUUCUGACUGAAGCCCCAGUAAACGGCGGCCGUAACUAUAACGGUCCUAAGGUAGCGAAAUUCCUUGUCGGGUAAGUUCCGACCUGCACGAAUGGUCUAAUGAGUUGAACACUGUCUCCUCCACGAGCCCGGUGAAAUUGUAGUAUCGGUGAAGAUGCCGGUUACCCGCCACGGGACGGAAAGACCCCGUGAACCUUCACUACAACUUUGCAUUGAUUUUGAGCAACCGAUGUGUAGGAUAGUUGGGAGACUUUGAAGCAGUGUCGCUAGGCAUUGUGGAGUCAACGUUGAAAUACCAACCUUCGUUUGCUUAGAACCUAAUCCCUAAAGGGAGAAAGUGCAUGGUGGGUAGUUUGACUGGGGUGGUCGCCUCCUAAAAAGUAACGGAGGCUUGCAAAGGUACCCUCAGUACGGUUGGUAAUCGUACGCAGAGCGCAUUAGUAGAAGGGUGCUUGACUGUGAGACAAACACGUCGAGCAGGAGCGAAAGCUGGCUAAAGUGAUCCGGUGGUUCUGUAUGGAAGGGCCAUCGCUCAAAGGAUAAAAGGUACUCCGGGGAUAACAGGCUGAUCUUACCCAAGAGCUCAUAUCGACGGUAAGGUUUGGCACCUCGAUGUCGGUUCGUCACAUCCUGGGGCUGGAGAAGGUCCCAAGGGUUCGGCUGUUCGCCGAUUAAAGUGGCACGUGAACUGGGUUCAGAACGUCGCAAGACAGUUCGGUCCCUAUCUGUGGUGGGCGUUAGUAAAUUGAGAGGACGUGACCUUAGUACGAGAGGACCGGGUCGCACGUACCGCUGGUGUAUCUGUUAUGCCGCCAGGUGUAAUGCAGAGUAGCUAUGUACGGCAAGGAUAAACGCUGAAAGCAUCUAAGCGUGAAACCUUCCUCAAGAUGAGUUUACUUUUAAGGGUCGUCAGAGACUAUGACGUUGAUAGGCUACAGGUGUAAAGUUGGUAACAGCAAAGCCGAGUAGUACUAAUUACCCGUAAGCUUUAUUUU